GGACGAGUGGGUGAGUGGCUGAAACCACACCCCUGCUAAGGGUGCGUAGGAGCAAUCCUACCGAGAGUUCGAAUCUCUCCUCGUCCACCA
rnacentral:tRNA from 1 species